rnacentral:rRNA from 1 species
UACGGGGGGGGCAAGCGUUGUCCGGAAUCACUGGGCGUAAAGGGCGCGUAGGUGGCCUGGUAAGUAGGGGGUGAAAUCUCGUGGCUCAACUGCGAGGCUGCCUCCUAAACUGUCAGGCUCGAGCAGAGUAGAGGCAGGUGGAAUUCCCGGUGUAGCGGUGGAAUGCGUAGAGAUCGGGAAGAACAUCGGUGGCGAAGGCGGCCUGCUGGGCUCUUGCUGACACUGAGGAGCGAAAGCGUGGGGAGCGAACAGG